rnacentral:lncRNA from 1 species
CCUUGGCCGGCUGGAAUGUCACAGAAACCAAUGUCAAAUAAAUACAGGGCUUGCACUCCAUGUUGCAAAAAUAAGCAUGUCCAUUUGCUUGAAAGAAAAAAAAAAAAGUCUUUCAGAUGAGGGAACAUUUUCCAGUCAAUCACACAGCAGCAAAGUCAUCCUGUUGAAUUUGUGACUCACAGGCUCUCUGUGUCAAUAGACAGAGAGUGAGCCCAGCGUUAUGACUUCAGUGGGAGAUGAAGCAGAAGCUGGGAUGAGGCAGGGCUGGCUUUAAAGCAGAGCCCUGGGCUCUGACAAUAAAUAGCGGAGGAAAGUCUGACCACUCACAGGGAGCUCUUGAGGGAGGCCACCCUGGUCCGAAGUGCAUCUUACUUCUAACGUCUGCGUGGGCUCUAGCAAAGGAUCUAGCGGAAAAUACGGUUCAGGGAGUGUGUGAAGCCUGGGCCAACGCAGAGAACGAAGAGAAGACGUGGAGGUUUGUACACGCUUUCCAACCACCACCCGCUCACUCCAGCCCACUCUCCUGGGACCUGGGGAGAGGGAAAAAUUGGGGCAGAUCCUGAUAAAAGUUCAGUGAACAGACCAGUAUUUGCUCCUUAACCUCAGCGGUGUAGGAGAGCUUGGUUACUGCACAUUCUCGCCAACACCGGGUAUCACGUGACUUUCAAUUUUAGCAGUUUUCCUGAGUCCAGGGAUGUCGCUUGAGGGUUUUAAUUUGCAUUUACGUGAUGCACCUUUUCAUAUGUCUAUUAGCCAUUUGGCCAUAGUGUGU